ensembl:lncRNA
AUUUUUCUUUCAGGUUUGUCUUCAUGUUCUUUUGAAGGAGUUAACUUUGCUAAGUCAGGGGCUGUGGUCUGGCUGUGAGUCUGUGCGCGAUCACAGCGACCACAUUCACUUAAUUAGCACAGAGCAGAUGAGAGCGGCUCGUCCGGCAGGCGAAGUGUCUCUCCGCAGCAUGCAGGAGUCGUGCGGUGCUGCUGAACGUUAGCGACACCUUCAUCCUCUCUCAGCACGAUUCACUGACUGGCCCCAAACAUUCACAAACUGUCACUCUGAGAUGUCAGUCUACAGCAGGAUAGAGGGGAGCGGGGAGGAAGAGGAUGGAAACUUUUUGAUUGCGUGACAUCAAGCUUACCUUGACAGGUACGGACGGCCCGGGAGGAUCGUGACGAGCUGUGUGUGACCGACUCUCGCUGCCAGUGAGCUCAAAAAAUUUUCAUGUCUUGCAUGCAACUGGCACGGUGUGAAUCCUCAUGUCUGCGCACAUGGAGUCUCACGCAGACAGACACCUCCGGUUCAAGCGCAGAGCGUUAAGGCAGUCCAAAGCCGAGGGCUUCCCUUCAUCCAGAUGUGAUUGGAUGGUUCAGCACCUCUCAAGAGCCUGAUGAAUAUGCAAAGAUCCAGGGUAGAGGAGAUGCCAGCAUGACUUUUUUUCUUUUUGAGAGGGAAAGUGCAUUUAUCAACAGCAGAUUUAAAGGUCAGUAUCUGUGGAUGCAAAGCACUUGGUGUCAUAAAUUAUAAUCCUGAAAACUCAAGGUCAAUUAUUGACAAUUUAUCAUGCAUUCUCAAGAAGUGCUAUUAAAAGUGUGAUGUGUGUCAGAAUCAGGGCGUUUUUAGCAUGCAUUUUACUAUUACAUGACCUUUUUUUUUUUUUUUUUUUUUUUUUUUUUUUUAGAAGUGCAAGCUGCUCAUGCCAGGCAAAACGAGAGAGACAUUAGAAGAAUGAGUGCAGCACCAUCUGUGGGCAGGAAGUGAUGAGGCGAAACUUGGUGAAAACGUGACGUGAGUCUGCUCUUCAUUGCAUUCCUAAAUGCUGCUCAACUGUUCUGGCACAAGGAUGUCUAAAUAGUUUGGUGUCUCUUACUGCAGGUAUUUCUUUUGACUUGGUAUUUAUAAACUAGCAGCCAAAACAUUACUAUUAAAUCAAUCAGCAUUGUUAAAAAUGAGGGUUCUCUUUCAUGGUUCUUUGCAGCAUCGUGGUUUAGCAAAGAAUAGUGAAAAUAAAAAAUUGAGUUUGUAAUAUAGAUUUGUCA